rnacentral:rRNA from 1 species
UACAGAGGGUGCAAGCGUUAAUCGGAAUUAUUGGGCGUAAAGGGCGCGUAGGUGGUAUUUUAAGUUAGGUGUGAAACCCUUGGGCCCAACCUAAGGAUUGCAUUUAAUACUGGGAUACUAGAGUACAGUAGAGGGAAGUGGAAUUUUCGGUGUAGCGGUGAAAUGCGUAGAUAUCGGAAGGAACAUCAGUGGCGAAGGCGACUUUCUGGACUGAAACUGACACUGAGGCGCGAAAGCGUGGGUAGCAAACAGG